rnacentral:lncRNA from 1 species
GGAACAUAACUCUUAGUAGUUCUGGUAAGAAGAGCAUCAGACAGAAGCUCUGCCCUGUGAAGUUGCCAGCACGUGAGAUGAGAAGGCAGCGCUGAGCCUGGCACAGCAGGCUGCUAGACAGCCCCUCUACAGCUGUCCCAGGCCCUGUGGUCAGUGCGAAGACCAUCAAUUGUGCCACUCUGCUCUGCUGUUGCACUGCAGCUCCUAAGUUGACAGAGACCUGGCCACUGGCUUCUGUGAUGCUGGCCCCUUCUUUCAUUGCUCUAUGUUGAAAUCGGGGGCUGCUCCUGCUUGAGGCCUCCUUUGUUACAAAUCUACUUGUUUCCCAGGUAUAAUCUCAUCUCCUCAAGAAGACGAUCAACUCCUCAGGGGUAAAACUAUGCUAUUUUCUUCCUUAAUAGACUUCUCAUAAUAACCAGUGUCGUUUUGAGGCUAUUGCAGUUUCUACAUAAUACUUUUUGAUAUUUAUUUUUGUCAAUAUGGCCCUGAUAUCCACAUGCCCAAUUAGACAUACUAAAUCCAAUAAAAGCCAAUAAUGCAGAGAGGGGUGAUCUAGGAAGCUUUUUCAAUCAGAAAUUGUUUUGUAUACGUAUUUCAAGGCUGAUAAUUUUUCAUCUGAACUUGUAAAAAUGCUACUUGAGUUUUACAAAAUAAACAAUUUAAUUGCAGAUCCCCAGCAAUUUACCCCGGUGUUCAUUCUGAGCAGAACUUCGAAAACAAUGUGGUGUUUUAUUGUCCACUGAUACAGAAGAAAUGGAAUGAGAAAUUUCCCAACCUUUGAUACUUCUAAAUCAGGACUCUUGAAAGAUGGAGGAGGGCUCAGAGUUCAAAAUGCUGGUUUGUUUCAUCUGACUUUGGCCUCUAGGGAAAGGAGUAGGAUUCACAUAAUCCUUCAAAAAUAUUUCCCUACAUUUGGUGCCUUCUGUGCUCAAGGCUUCUCAUUACUCCCUUUAAGGGUUUCUGUGAAUUGUCAAUUACCUAAAUAUAAAGGCUUUUUAUUCCAC